AGAAAGUUGAACAUUGGACAACAACAACAGAAACAUUGGCGUAAGAGUGUUAGGAAAUGUAAGAUAGGUCGAGUUUAAAUAUUAACAAUUUACCAAGAAACGCGUGUGUUAUACCGGGAGAACUUUUAUAUGCAAAAUCAAUAUUAUGAUUAUCAAGAACUGACCACUUUUGAUUGCACUUUUCAUGAUUGAAAAUUGAAAGCUCCCAGGUCUUUAGUAAUACGUACCAUAGGAUAAUCUGGCAAAAUGGGACAUUGGAUUGGACAUUGGGCGUCUGAAAUUUUUAAAGGUGAGGAUUACUUUCUUUCAUAAAUUUUAACGAAAUUCUUAAAGAAGUACAUGAAAAAUACUCAGAUCUGAUAACGCAACUAUCUUAUCG